UACGUAGGGUCCGAGCGUUGUCCGGAGUUACUGGGCGUAAAGCGCGCGCAGGCGGCGGUGUAGGCCCGGCGUGAAAGCCCCCGGCUCAACCGGGGAGAGUCGUCGGGGACCGCACCGCUUGAGGGCGGUAGGGGCUGGUGGAAUGCCUGGUGUAGUGGUGAAAUGCGUAGAGAUCAGGCAGAACACCUGGGGCGAAGGCGGCCAGCUGGGCCGUCCCUGACGCUGAGGCGCGAAGGCGUGGGGAGCGAACGGG
rnacentral:rRNA from 1 species